CCUACGGGUGGCUGCAGUGGGGAAUAUUGGACAAUGGGCGAAAGCCUGAUCCAGCCAUGCCGCGUGUGUGAAGAAGGCCUUCGGGUUGUAAAGCACUUUCAGUGGGGAAGAAAGCCUUGGGGCUAAUACCCUCGAGGAAGGACAUCACCCACAGAAGAAGCACCGGCUAACUCCGUGCCAGCAGCCGCGGUAAUACGGAGGGUGCGAGCGUUAAUCGGAAUUACUGGGCGUAAAGCGCGCGUAGGCGGUCUGAUAAGCCGGUUGUGAAAGCCCCGGGCUCAACCUGGGAACGGCAUCCGGAACUGUCAGGCUAGAGUGCAGGAGAGGAAGGUAGAAUUCCCGGUGUAGCGGUGAAAUGCGUAGAGAUCGGGAGGAAUACCAGUGGCCAAGGCGGCCUUCUGGACUGACACUGACGCUGAGGUGCGAAAGCGUGGGUAGCAAACAGGAUUAGAUACCCUAGUAGUC
rnacentral:rRNA from 1 species